rnacentral:tRNA from 1 species
AGAGAUGUAGCUCAGAGGUACAGCACUUGAAUGGGCACUAGCAUGCCAGAGGCCCUGGGUUAGAGUCCCAGUAUCCUUC